rnacentral:misc_RNA from 1 species
AAGUCGUAACAAGGUUUCCGUAGGUGAACCUGCGGAAGGAUCAUUAUCGAGAGACGGGUCUAACGGGCCCCAACUCUUCACCCGUGUAUACUAUAACCUCCGUUGCUUUGGCGGGCCGUCGAAGACAUUUCGCGGAAGGCCACCAACCUCCCUGCGCCCGCCAGAGGCCUUACAAAACUCUGUGAUUAGUGUCGUCCGAGUAGUAAUAUAAUAACUAAAACUUUCAACAACGGAUCUCUUGGUUCCA